GUCGUAGUGAGGUGCAGCAGCGGCGGUAAUACGAAGGGGGGUAGGGUUGUGCGGAAUUACUGGGCGUAAAUCGAACGUAGGCGGUUAUUUAAGGCAGGGGUGAAAUCCCGCAGCUCAACUGCGGAACUGCCUUUGAUACUGGGUAUCUUGAGUAUGGAAGAGGUAAGUGGAAUUCCGAGUGUAGAGGUGAAAUUCGUAGAUAUUCGGAGGAACACCAGUGGCGAAGGCGGCUUACUGGUCCAUUACUGACGCUGAGGUGCGAAAGCGUGGGGAGCAAACAGGAUUAGAUACCCCAGUAGC
rnacentral:rRNA from 1 species